GAGCAGAGCAUUCUGUCCCUCCUGGAGAGCGUCAUGUUGGGAGGUAUGCUGUAAGGGGCAGAGGUGACUGCCAGUGGAAUUUGGUGAUAGUGUAAGGAUUCCAUUGUCAGACUCCACCUCAGGACCUGAGGCUCAGGUGGGGAUUCUCCGUGACGCCGUGGGCUGGCAACCUGUGAUGACGUCAUCUUUACUGAGCGGGUGUGGUGGACGCUGGGCAACAUGGACAGUUUGGCGGGGGUAAUAAGGCAUUUCUACAGCAACUUGUUUUGAACUAUACUUUGUUCUAUAUGCUUCAAAGUAGAUGUACUGACCCCUGAUGAAGUCUUAUGGACGAAACGCAUUGGACUGUUAUCAGCAGAUUUAAUAGACUUCUGAAAAAAGACUGAACCAGAAGUGACAUCCUCCACAAUCAAAUAUUAUCAGUACAACUGUUUUAAUAAUGUCAAAGAUUCUAAUGUAAUCUUAAUAUGUAAU